GCAGUCGUGGCUGGUCAAGGCGAUGGACUAGAAAUCCAUUGGGGUCUCCCCGCACAGGUUCGAAUCCUGUUGACUGCG
rnacentral:tRNA from 1 species